rnacentral:rRNA from 1 species
GGGGGGGGGGGGGGGGGGGCGUGGGGCGGGCGGGUGGGGCGGGGGGACGGGGGGCUUGCGCCUGGGGCGGUAGGGGCGGCCGGGUGGGUGAGGCGUGGAUAACCUACCUAUAGGACUUGGAUAACUUGGGGAAGCGGGAGCUACUCCCGGAUAAUCUAUUGGCCCGCAUGGUUCAAUAGUGAAAGACGGUUUUGCUGGCACUUAUAGAGGGACCCACGCCGCAUUCGCUGUGUGGGAAGGUAACGGCUUACCAAGGCAACGAUGCGGAGCCGACCUGGGAGGGUGAUCGGCCACACUGGAACUGAGACACGGUCCAGACUCCUACGGGAGGCAGCAGUAGGGAAUCUUCCGCAAGGGGCGAAAGCCUGACGGAGCAACGCCGCGUGAGGGAUGAAGGUCUUCGGAUCGUAAAACUCUGUUAGUAGGGAAGAACAAAUGUGUAAGUAACUAUGCACGUCUUGACGGUACCUAAUCAGAAAGCCACGGCUAACUACGUG